GGGCUUGUUGUUGUUGUUGUUGUUGCUGUUGUUGUUGUUGCUGCUGCUUUUGUUGUUGGCUGUUGUUGUUGUUGUUGCUGUUGUUGUUGUUGCUGUUGUUGUGUUGUUGUUGUUGUUGCUGUUGUUGUUUGGCUGUUGUUGUUGUUGCUGUUGUUGUUGUUGGAGACCUCUGUGUCACACUGAACCCUGCCUCCUGAGGCUGAGCCUUCUUUCUCUCUGGUCUGGAGUGGAAAAUGCAGAUACCAAAUUGCCAGGAGUCAUCAGGUCUCCAUCUACUUACACAAAGACGUGUCGCUAUGACACUUUCGGGGACCUGUGACUUCCGCAUUGCCGUCUGCGGCACGAAGAGGCAGUGAAUUGUACAUUUUGAUCACUGACAGAAUCAAGGGAUGAAGACGCACUGGGAAAAGCCAUGCAGUCUCGGGAAAUAGUUUGUUGUCUGAGCUUUCCAAAGUUCCUCAUAGCUCUCAAAGCUACGGGUGGUUGUGGAGUCAGGAUGUCAACUCUCCUUUACCAGGAGAGCCAGGCGUGUGUCUCCAUGUUUACACCCUGGCUGUGGCUCCAGUGACUCUGCAGCUCUCAGGACUCUUGCUCCUCGUGUCUAGCCAACCCUGACACUGUGUCCUUCCUGUAGGUCCAUUCCUCAGCGUGGUCCUGUCAAAGCUGGAGAACAUGCUGGAGAACUCCUUGCACGUCAACUUGCUUCUUAUCGGCAUCAUCACCCAGCUGGCCAGCUACCCGCAGCCACUCCUGCGCUCCUUCCUCCUCAACACCAACAUGGUCUUCCAGCCUAGCGUCCGCUCCCUCUACCAGGUCCUUGCAUCUGUGAAAAACAAGAUCGAGCAGUUUGCCUCCGUGGAGAGAGACUUCCCGGGCCUCCUCAUCCAAGCUCAGCAGUACCUACUCUUCCGGGUGGACAUGUCUGACAUGACCCCUGUGGCACUCACCAAAGGUCAGCCAGCUUUCUCCACUGUGCCUGUCUUAGCCCGCACCUAGUCCCCCCCGCCCCCAUUUUCUUUGCAGGUAUUCUUGGCAUCUGGAACCUAUAAGCAUCAAAGACUAUGCUUGUGCUCAUCUUAGAACAGCCUCUUCCUAGUGUUCUUAACUCUGGAAGCGAGUGCGACCAGGCCUUCACUGGCCUCUCCCCUCCAUGGGGGAUCUGGCUGGACAUCCAUUUUCCUAGUUGAGGUGGUUCAAGGAAGGAGCUGGCGUGAGAUGUUGUCAAAUUCCACUAAAUCACAGCAGCC
rnacentral:lncRNA from 1 species